UACGUAGGGGGCUAGCGUUGUCCGGAUUUAUUGGGCGUAAAGAGCGUGUAGGCGGCCAGGUAGGUCUGCUGUGAAAACUCGAGGCUCAACCUCGAGACGUCGAUGGAAACCGUCUGGCUAGAGUCCGGAAGAGGAGAGUGGAAUUCCUGGUGUAGCGGUGAAAUGCGCAGAUAUCAGGAAGAACACCUAUGGCGAAGGCAGCUCUCUGGGACGGUACUGACGCUGAGACGCGAAAGCGUGGGGAGCGAACAGG
rnacentral:rRNA from 1 species